rnacentral:rRNA from 1 species
UACGUAGGGUGCAAGCGUUAAUCGGAAUUACUGGGCGUAAAGGGCUCGUAGGCGGCCAACUAAGUCACACGUGAAAUCCCCAGGCUUAACCUGGGAACUGCGUGUGAUACUGGAUGGCUUGAAUUCGGGAGAGGGAUGCAGAAUUCCAGGUGUAGCGGUGAAAUGCGUAGAUAUCUGGAGGAAUACCGGUGGCGAAGGCGGCAUCCUGGACCGAGAUUGACGCUGAGGAGCGAAAGCCAGGGGAGCAAACGGG